rnacentral:rRNA from 1 species
GUACGGGAGGCAGCAGUAAGGAAUAUUGCACAAUGGGCGGAAGCCUGAUGCAGCGACGCCGCGUGAGGGAUGACGGCCUUCGGGUUGUAAACCUCUUUCGACCCUGACGAAGCGCAAGUGACGGUAGGGGGAGAAGAAGCGCCGGCCAACUACGUGCCAGCAGCCGCGGUAAGACGUAGGGCGCGAGCGUUGUCCGGAUUUAUUGGGCGUAAAGAGCUCGUAGGCGGCUCGUUGCGUCGGCUGUGAAAUUCCGCGGCUUAACCGCGGGAUUGCAGCUGAUACGGGCGGGCUGGAGUUCGGUAGGGGAGACUGGAAUUCCUGGUGUAGCGGUGAAAUGCGCAGAUAUCAGGAGGAACACCGGUGGCGAAGGCGGGUCUCUGGGCCGAUACUGACGCUGAGGAGCGAAAGCGUGGGGAGCGAACAGGAUUAGAUACCCCGGUAGA